rnacentral:rRNA from 1 species
UACGUAGGGUGCAAGCGUUGUCCGGAAUUAUUGGGCGUAAAGAGCUCGUAGGCGGUUUGUUGCGUCGGCUGUGAAAUCCCGAGGCUCAACCUCGGGUCUGCAGUCGAUACGAGCAAACUAGAGUGUUGCAAGGGAGACUGGAAUUCCUGGUGUAGCGGUGAAAUGCGCAGAUAUCAGGAGGAACACCGGUGGCGAAGGCGGGUCUCUGGGCAACAACUGACGCUGAGGAGCGAAAGCGUGGGGAGCGAACAGG